AAUGAACGUUGGCGGCGUGGAUUAGGCAUGCAAGUCGUGCGAGAAGUCUUUUGCUUGCAUUAGACGGAAAGCGGCGAAAGGGAGAGUAACGCGUGGAUACCUACCUCCAGGUUCGGGAUAGCUGCGGGAAACUGCGGGUAAUACCGAAUGACAUCUCCGGAUCAAAGGUGUGAUUCCGCCUGGAGACGGGUCCGCGUCCUACUAGCUUGUUGGUGAGGUAACGGCUCACCAAGGCGACGAUGGGUAUCAGGCGUGAGAGCGUGACCUGACUCACUGGGACUGAGACACUGCCCAGACACCUACGGGUGGCAG
rnacentral:rRNA from 1 species